GCCGCCAACUAAUAAGGUAACCCUUGCCUUUCCUUUCCUAUCCUUCAGUUGUCUUCUUCAUGCCCGUUUUUGAGUGUCUGUAUCCUUCUCCCUUCUCCCUUCUUCUUUCAUUCUUCUUCACCACCAAGUAUCUCCUCUUUAAUAGAUUUUGGGACAGAUCUCCACCACCGUCGUCUCACUAAAGGGUACAGAUCGACUCAUCUCGACUGCGAAUCACAAAACUCUUCACACUCGUCUAUGAUGUACUGAAAUUAUGUGAAAAUCAGAGAAACUAUCUAAAAUCGUUGAUUCACGGGGUUGGUUCAAGUUUUCGGGUGACUGACACCAUUGUGUCAAGUUCUCCGGCCGCUGGGCUUAGUCUAGGUUCAUUAAAGCAAUUCAUCCCCAUGAAAUCAUUAAACUCAUCUCCAGUCAAGAAUAAAGAGGCAUGAUGUAUUGAUGCGUCCCCAUUGAUCACAUCCCCACUCAAAAAUCAACAAGUGGUAUCUAACUAUCAACUAAUCUGAUUGAAUUUUUUAGUAAGUAUCUUCUAUUUUAUUAACGAAUUAGUUAAUUAAUUAUUGGAGUAAUUCAAUGACAUGUAAAUUUCGAAGAACAAUGAAUGUUUCGCUAGGAACCAUACCACUUACCUUCUUAAUAGAAGUUCCAGCAGCGGCGAAUCUGGAGGAUGUGGGAGUUCAAACGGUCAUUACAGAGUACACGAACUGGUGUUAUUUAUGGUUAACCUUUCUAGACCGGCUAGUCGAUGAUGGCGGUAGCACUGGCCGAUAGGAUAUUUCUGGAAGCAACACCGGCCCAGAACAACAGCUAGCUGAUUCUGGAAGCAAUACCAAUUGCCGAAUAAGUGCUGAAUUUCCAUAACCAUCAAUUGCCGAUUAAAUAGCUGCUGAAUAGCUACGGUAACAGCGGUGACACCAAAACACCGACACCAAAGCUAAGAUUUCUUUCUCCUUAUUUAUGCGAUUAAGAUGUUUUAAUUCAAUGCUCAUACAUGAUUAAAAUUACCCGAUUAAUUGCCGACUGCACUUUCCGCAAGAUUCUCGUUAUGAUGUCUGUGUGUAUUUUCUUUGUGACAUAGCUUUAAUUAUAAUUUUAUUACUCCAUAGCCAACCUGCCAUCAGUGUGCAGCUGUGCACCAGUAGGCAUUUAGUUUGAGCAAGCUAAUUAAUGGCCAUUUGCCGGGCGAAAUUAAUAAGUGCCUAAUAAGUUUAUGAUUUUACAAGUUAAAAUGGUGCACAUUGUGUGUUUGCUAAAGCACAAUUGUUAUGUUUUUAACAUGUUCCAUCGAGUCUUCAAAGUCUAAGUCAUAAUCUCUCUGUCAUACUGUAAGUGUUAAUAAGACGGAUUUAUUGAUUUCUGGGUUAAUUGCCGACUGAAAUGACCUGGUUCAUUGCCGACUGUAUUAUUACCGGCUAAGAUUACCUGACUUAUUGCCGAUUGUUUUGUUACCAGGGUAGUCUGAAACUACCUGGUUUAUGUAAAGUUGAUGUUAAAGAAAAAGUUUAAGCAACGAAUUAUUAACAAAUGAUUAAUUAUUAUCUAAUUUGCUACCGGCCUGAUUAGAAAGUCCAUAACUCAUAGUCUGAUAGUCACAUUAUACCCUCUAAUUCGUUCUUGGCUCUGUCUGUAAAGUACUUGUUGUGAUGAUGUGUGUGCAUAAAUUGUCACAAAUAAGCAAGGAAUUAUUAGCAAGCGGUUAGUUAUAUCUUUUGGAAAUCCUACGGUAAUGCCGCAUACAGACAUUCUUAUCUGCUACCAAUAUAAGUUUCGCAAGCCGGGUGAACAUCUCUUAAUUUUCUAUCUGCUAGUUUCAACUUGUUGUCAGCCAACCUCAUGCCGUUUGACAGUGAUACCAGCUAGUUCAUUGUCGGCUAUUUUGUUUAAUUAAUUAAUUAAUUAAUUAAUGAUUUGUAUCAAUCCCAAUGGUUGGUAAUUGGUAUGCCCCUUCAUAUGGUUGGUAAAUGAUUCUAGCACAAAUGAUUCGCAUUGUUUGGCAAUUUACAAUUUGAUGGUAUGAACUUUGUUGAUAUAUGGCCUAGUAAUUCUCGUUUGGGACAAGUGUUUUAAUUGUUCCGGCCUAGUAAUUCACUAAUUCUUUACCGGCCAUAUAUCUGACUUUGAAUAAGGGUAAUUUUGGGCCAUUUGGCAAAGAAGUGGAGUUCUUCUUUUGUUAGAAGGUUAGGUUGGUGAACUAGGGAUUAAUUUACUGGUUGGAUUUUUAAAUUGAAAUAUGACUAUGAGAGUGUUUAUGCUCACAACCUGGAUAAACUAAGGAUUGGUUGGUGGCUUGGUCUGUUUGAUUUGUAGAUUAAAAGCUUGUAUAAUUUGAUGUCAGCUUAUACAGUAUAAACUUCCAACUUGCAACAUGUAUAACCAGCCUAAAAUUCUAUUAGUAUUUACGCCUUUUAUUAAUUUAUUGUUACCAGCAGUGUUAUGAAUUUAGGAGGAAGACUAUGUUGGUAUAAAGUUUAGACAUACCCAUACCAUCUGAUUUACUAUCAGCUCGUUGUCUGCAUAACCUACAAGUCAAUCACCAUGCCAUGACGGCGUCAUUGCUACCAGCAUCCCCUAGAUUUUCUACCUACUUGUGUAGACUUAGGCUUUUAUCUUACCAGCUCCAAAGGGCUAAAUCCUACUCCAUACCAGCCUCGAAAUGUCAUACCAACACUUGAUGCUACGUGAUUGUAGUAUUGUUAUUUUUCAUAGUUUCUAAAUGUGAAUUUCAGUUUGAUUUCUUAUAGUAUCUAGAUGCGAUGGUCUGGUUAUAGUAUCUAGAUGCGGUGGUCUGGUUAUAGUAUCUAGAUGCGGUGGUCUGGUUGAUUUUAUUGUAUUAAUGGAUUUGUUGAUUCUUUAAAUAUGCUUCAUUGGUAAUUCUUUUUAUGUGGUAGGCUGCGAUUUAAGUGUCAUACUUGCCCGAUCAUUCUCUAUUUCUCUGUCAGUUUACACACUUAGUCUAAACACCUCUGUCGGCAUGAAACUCUUACCAGCCUAUAGAGUUAUCAGUAUACCAUAUGAUUUAUUGCUGACUCACUGUCUCCAUAGCCCAAUAAAUUCUAGAUUACUUGUUAAUUGUUACUCCGUAGCUAAUUUGCUACUAGCCUAAUCUAAGCGGCAAGUUUAUGCUUAGUAUAUGAUGAUGUUUUAGAAGAGGUAUGACUUGAUUUAGUAUCACCAGCAUUAUACCAUCAUAUGAGGCCAACAACAAAAAGGUUGUCUUAAAUCUAGACUAAAUAAUCACCCAUGGGUACAUGGUCACCUCUGUUACUGUCUGCUACCGUCCAAACUGAUGUCAGUGUAAUUUGAUGAGUUUUCUUUGCUAACGUCCUGAUUUCAAAAUUUAUACCCUUUGCUAUCGGCCAAAUUAUAUGAGUCUUAUGUAUUACAUAAAUACUAAGCUUCCUACCAGCAUAUACCCUCUUGGCCAACAUCAUAUACCAGCUAUUUAAUCAAUGAUUGUAGUAUGAAUUAAAGAGUCAUACUUACUACAGUUUUAGUUCGCAAAUGGUCUAAUUUGCUACCAUCUAUGGUCUUAUUUGUCGCAAUCAGCUUUUUAAUUCAUGAUAAGCUUGCUGACUAUGAUUUUUUACUUCCCCGUUGACGUUUAUAUUAAGUCAAAAUUGUAAUUUUUGUGACUAAGUUUUAUUGAUGGAAAGACACACGGUUUUUGUUUCCUUUAUUGUCAUGAAUAUUGUUGUUGUCAUGUUGUCAGGGUUCUUGAUUCUAAGGGCUUUGCCCUUCCAUUCUUACCCAUGUGAAGAUUAAAGUUAUUCUUUUAUUGGGUUAUUCCUCUUUGGUGUGCGCAUGUGUUAAGGGCUAGGUUUUUUCUUGCGGUUGAAUAUAUGCUUCUGAUUUUGAACUCUUUCAUCAUCCCUAUUCAAAGACUAUUAUUUCCAUGGUUCGAGGACCUAGGAGACAACAACUUUUUAGAUAAUCUAACCGAAGAUAACUUAUCUUAUGAUAUAUAUUAUUUUGUUAGGUUUGCACGUCACUAAGUGGAGAUUCUUUCACCGAUGAGCAAAUUGAUGAAAUACGAGACAAAUGGGCAUCAUACUUCACCGAACAUUGUGUGUAAAUAACUAACGCUUCAUAGAUCUCUUUUUGUGGAUGUUUCCUUCUAUUCAAAUCAUAUAUAAUUGCCUUAUUAUAUUUUUGGUGCAAAUUUGUAACGUAUGAAGUGUAAAAGAUAUAGUUAUUAUCGACUUGAAACUAUUUAGGUGGUUUGUUUUUGUAAACAUAUAUAUGAUGGUUAACUUACAUGUAAAAAUCAAAGUGUCUUGGAAGUUAUUGGUGGUUGAUGACACUUUUGAACGUUGUAUAAAUGUGGCGUAAGUACAGA